AGUGAACGCUGGCGGCGUGCUUAACACAUGCAAGUCGAACGAGAACGGGUUAUAGCUUGCUAUAAUUGUGAGCUAAGUGGCGCACGUGUGAGUAAUCUAUAGGUAAUAUGCCUCUUACUACGGGAUAACAAAUGGAAAAGUCUGCUACUCCCUUAUACUUCUUAUCAACAUAAGUUAAUAAGGGAAAGAUUUAUUGGUAAGCGAUUAGCCUGUAUUGUAUCAGUUAGUUGGUGGGUAAUGGCUUACCAAGACUAUGACACAUAACUGGUUUGAGAGGAUGAUCAGUCACACUGAAACUGAGACACGGUCCAGACUCCUACGGGAGGCAGCAGUGGGGAAUAUUGCACAAUGGACGAAAGUCUGAUGCCGCAACGCCGCGUGGAGGAUGACACAUUUCGGUGCGUAAACUCCUUUUAUAUGCGAAGUUAAUGACGUUAUUAUAUGAAUAAGCACCGGCUAACUCCGUGCCAGCAGCCGCCGUAAAAC
rnacentral:rRNA from 1 species